UUACCCUGGCAUGGGUCCUAUCAAUAAAAAGUUAUUAUAAAAGAAAAAAGAAAAAAAAAGCAGUCCUUGCCUCCUGCAGUCAAAGGGGCCAGGGCAUGUGGACGAUGGGAUGGCAGCUUCCAUCUCUCUCAGGGACACAGAUAAAAACCCACAUUCGUAAGCAGAGAAUCAGUCCCAAGUCCCUCUUGGUACAAUUCCACUUUUUUAUUUUAGACUUGAGGGUUCAUUUUGCAAUUCAAAUGGCUACAAAGGUUUCCCUAGAGAACUUCCACCCAAUAUUUGCCAUCCGGUAAGCGAUUUGUCUGUUGAGCAGAGAGCAUCUCCCGGGGAGCCCUGCACCAAUGAGGGGCCACAAGUCUGCACGAUCUCAGCUGCCCCUGGGAUUGGUUUAAUAACGGGCCACCUUCCUGAGCGCAAAGACAAAAUGGCACCGUCCUUUCCCUUCCCCUCGCCGGGGUCCUGCAGGUAGGAUUGUGAAGCAGGCAGCAGACCAAGAACCAAGCCGACAUCCAGGAAAUGCUCCCCCAAAACAACCGCAGGGGCAGCAGGGGCAUCGCCUAAGAGAGCUGGAAAGGCAGCAGAAUGUGGCCACUGAGGGAGCGGGCCCAGAAAAACCUCACUCUAGAGCCUUGUCUGUUGCUGGCAGGGGAAGUCACCGAGUGUUCGGGGACCCAGGCACCCCGGGCUCUGGACUCGAGUGGAUGCCCCUCUCCCCUGGGAAUUCUCAGCAACAGAAUCACGUCUGAAAUCUGCAAACGGCCUAUCCUGCCCCCAAAAAGACCUAGGGAGGCCGAGAAGACACUAACAUCAGCCGGUCUUCCCAGUAAAAAUGAAAAGAGGACCAGCAGCUCCUCCUCCCCUGUGUGAGGCAGCAAGACAGGAUUUGUAAAACUGCAAAUGGGAGAAACUCAUGCAGGCCAUUGUAAAGAACAGACGUCACCUCUCAAAGGAGCCCCACAGAAAAGCGCUUCCAAGGUGCCCGCCCAAGGACCAGCCCUGCAGGUGGUCACUGCUUCAGGGAUGUAAAUCUUCUUGGCAACAAUUAAGGAGAGCAGACAGGAUGAGGGAUGGAGGCAGGUUGUAAAGAAGAAGCCCCUUUGGGUCUUUAAGAUCAAACAAAAUCACAUUUGCAAAAAUUUUCCAAAAGCACUCUAUGAGACCGGGUGAAUUUUCUGAUUCUGAUUCUGAUUAUUGUUUUUAUUGUUAUCAUUAUUAUCUUUAUUAUUAUUAAAUAAUGGGAAAGUCA